ACGCUACAGAAAUAAAGCCUAGGAAAUAUCAUUUCACUGCAAGAACCAUGAUCACAGUCUGCGGGGCUGUCACUACCAGCUGACUGAUCAGCAAGCUCAGCCAAUCAGAACUUAGCAAUGCCCAGACAGUUCUAAUCCCAGACACAGAGUGGUGGUCAGCUGAAAACAGCUUAUAAAGUUCCCAGCAUCAGCUACUCCAGUUCAUGUUCCAAGUUCAUAAAGCCGAUAUAAACAAAGUGCAUUAUCCAUGAUCAGCGUCUAAUAAUAAAACAAUAAGAUUAUACCUGUUGCUAAUAUGUCUACGACUAGGAGACAGCAUGACAAGGGCAGACAAUUAAAUCAGGAUAUGCAAUAAGUUAAUCCUGGGAGACUCUGGAAGAAUGAAACGUGCCUCAUCUCUGUCACCAGGAGCCUUGUGAGUCACUCCAAAGCACCUCUGGCUGCAGGAGCCUCAGGAAAGAUGCUUUUCAACCUGUUUUGUCCCUUUGUACUGCUCCAUGAAAGACUGUCUCUCCUUUGCUCCCCUCCCACCUUUCAACUGAUUCCCUGUGACACUUGUGAGCACUAACCACAGGCCAAACACUGCUGAGUGCUCUCUGUAUCAUCUCCUUUACAUCUGCACAAUGAUCCUGGGGGUAGGGAUGACACUAUCCCCAUUCAAAGGGAAGAAGACCGAGGCUCAAAAAGUCUAAGCACAUGAAGGAGGCUGUGCAUGUAUGGGGAUAUGUAGGAAAUCUCUGUUCCUGGCUCUCAAUUUUGCAGGAAACGUAAAACUUCCCUAAAAAAUAGUCUUUAAAAAAAAAAAAAAACACUUAAGCAUCUCGCCCAAGCAUAACCAGUAAACAGCAAAUGGGGAUUCAAACUGAAGCUUUCAGACUCCAUAAAUCUCCUCUUGCACACAAUCCCAUAGUGCUUCUGUGUCCUGAUAUAUCCCUAGACACAAAGAUCUCAGAGCCUUGCUGAGGAAAUAAGACCUAAAAGGACAAAAGGAGAAUCCCCAGUGCCCUCAGUGAUCUCGGUUCACCUGUGGUCUUAGCAGGGACUGUGCCCUGUUGACCUCAGGGCCCUUGUACAGAGGACCAGCACAGAGAGCAAGCAUAGCAGAGUAGGGAAUUCAUUAGUGUUUGUAGACUGAGAGGGAGGGAGGGAGAAACUGCUCCUUGGACAGGAGACCAUGGAACAGUCUAGAAGCCAUCACUUUCAGAACCACACAGGGCUACACAUGGGGUUCUGAAAGUGCUCCUUGGACAGGAGACCAUGGAACAGUCUAGAAGCCAUCACUUUCAGAACCCCACAGGGCUACACAGUGGGGUUCUGAAAGUGCUCCUUGGACAGGAGACCAUGGAACAGUCUAGAAGCCAUCACUUUCAGAACCCCACAGGGCUCCCACAUACAUACAGGAACUCGAAAGUGGAGUUUAGGGGGUAAGCUUGGUCCUUUUCAGAUCCUGCCAAAGAUUUAAAAUGUCAAUAUUUUGUUCAAUAUGGACUUUUUAAAUCUAAUUUUGAUUUUUUUAAAAUAGUGCGUUGAAAUAUCACACAUCUGGAUUUUCAAGUCUUUCAAGCAUGCCCUUCCGGGUCCCUCUGAGGCAAGUGCCUCACUCUCCUCAUCCUUGUCCCAGAGCUUCACCACCUUCAAACUUGAAGCAAAAGUCACACUCAGGACACAGCAGUCAUGUGAGUGCAAGCAGUGGGCUCUCAGUUCACAGCCACAGAGUUCGUGCCCAGAACAUUCUGGCUCUGCUGUCCCCAAGCUGUCCCCAAGCGUGUGUUGGCAGCUCCUAACCAGGGGAGGACGAUUUGAACAAUGUUUCGGUGCUUAAUUAAAUUCCAAGAACACCUGUUUCAUCAGGUUAUAAAUUCCAACUGAAUUUUAAGAGGCUUCUGUUUGGUACACAGAGCUUUUAUUUUCUAGGCUGUAACCACAGCAACAUUGUUGCCUGAUUAUCCAUCCUUCACUCCUGCCACACAUGCCACACCCUCAUCCCCUGCCUUCAGCGGCCGUAGAGAGCUUAUGAUGGCUUUUCACACUCCCCAUUCAGCUCUCUGCCUGGCACAACAGCAGCAGCAAACAUUUCAUGCUGUGGAUUUGCCUUUCCCUAAUGGCUCACCUAAAGUUGGGACAUUGGUACAAGAAAACACAGUGCUGUCAACUGAACUUCCUUCACUAGCUAACACCGAAAAACUAAAACAGUUUCUUCCCUUGUUUUCAGCAUCUCUAGCACAACAUGCAGGCCCUGUGCUGGGCGCCUCCCUUAUGUUUACUUCCUCUUGGAGCUUCAAUUCCCUCUCCAUGCAAGGCAGUGAUGACAGUCGCCCCCUCCCUGCACCGUAGGGGUAGGGGACUCUCUCUGAGGUCACACAGCUAGUAAAGCGUAGUAGUAGAGUAGGGACCAGAAGUCAGGCCCUUCAGAUUUCAACAUCUGCCCUGACGGACUUCUGGUUCUAAGGCCCCAAAGUGAGAGCCCCUUUGAGGUCUUAAGAGUGACCCAAGGGCAAAGCAAUGAACAAAUGUCAAAAAAGGCAGUGGUGAGGAUGAAAAGCUUGAAGAAUGCCAUCACCUGCAUGAAGGCUUGAUUGGGAGUGUGGGGGGAUGUCUUUAAACCAUCCCCUGAACUAGGAUUAAGCCCAGGUAAGAGUCAGGAGACGGGCUGGGUGGCAGUAAUGACACUGGGGCUGCUGUCAAGCACGCUCCACACUAACUGGGCUAAUUUCCCUAUGCCUCAGUUUCUUCUUUUAGAAAAUGGGUAAAGAGUUUCCAACUCAUGGGUCUGAAGUAUAAUUUUGAAGUAAUUAAUGUACACUGAUUUUUUUUUCUAAUUUUUAAAAAGAAUUCAAGUAAAAUGUUUAGACUAGGGCUGGAUAUAUAGGAAGAGCUCUGUAAGUGUUAAACUGCUAUUGCUGUCAUUGUACUUGUUAUGCACCAUAGAAAGUGCUUUUUCCACACCAUCCCCAGUAACUUCCUACCCUCUGCAAGGUAACAGUUCAAACUCCUGCUGGUGUGCUUUGCUCCAUGGCAUGGGCUUGCCUUUCCUCAUGCAAUCAGGUCCGGGGUGCCUUUCGCUACCUGCAACUUCAAGAGCACACUUGAGGCUGUCACCUCUGCUGAGCCUUCCCUGACCUCCCUGUCCUCUGUCCCCACCCCCCACCCAACACAGACUGCCUCAGUUCCCCAUUCAUAUGACACAGUCAAAGACCCCUUUGCCAGCGGCCUGUCCUUCCGCAGAUGGAGUCAGGCGUAGGACCCUGCUCAGACCCACCCAGUCCCAAUGCUCAUUCAUUCAUGCCUUCCCCAAAUAUCUAUCCUGUGUUUUGUGCUAGAAUUGGGGCAGGGUGGGGUGGAAUGAGGAUGGGGGUGGCAACAGCAAUAAACAAAGCAGAUACAGAACUUGUCCUUGGGGAAGAUGAUGAAAAACAAGUUAUGAGAGAAACUAUACAAUUCUGAAUUGUGAUCAAUGCAAUGAAAAAAAAAUAAGGUAAAAGAACUAUCUGGAGAUUAAGUAUCCCGCCACUCAGUAUCAACACAGAACCUUCCACAACCUCAUACCUUUCUAAUUAUCACUUUACAUGACACAUCAUACCUUAACGCCUCUAAGCAUAAAAUCCUCAAGUCAUUGAGAAAUGGGCCCUUGCCAUUUCUCCUUGCCUUGGCAAAUGGAUAGGGUUUGCUCUGUGGCAUAGAAAUUCCGGCCACAGGCUCUGAGGACUCUCAGUCUGGCACUGGCUCCUGAUUUGCCAGCGAGUCUCAGGGCGCGGAGCAGCUCAUUUGGAAUUUUGCCAAGGCCCCCAGGAGUGGGCAGCCUUCAGAUUCCCUUUGACUAAUUUUUAUUUUCCCCCAAUCAUGAACAGUGGCUGGGUUUUUAAAAGCCACCAAACUAAGAGAAUGGUGAAAAAUAAGAUGCUGCAAACAUGAAAUGAUAGUUAAAACCAUGCCUGGGCUCUGACCUGUGCCAACAUCUAGCCAAUUGUUCUAACUCUGAAUGGAGUUUUCCAGGUGCUUUGAGGGGCUCUUGGGAUUUUAUGUUUCGAUCAGAGCCCACUCUAAAGGGAUUUUUGGCUAAGUCAAGCAAUGCUCCCCUUUCUUUCCUGGAAGAGAAGGCAGCCAACUUUCUCUCACCUUCACUCUUAAGUCUAACUUGCAGUCCACUUAUUCUUUCUGGUUGCUUUGCUAGGGGCUGCAAUUACUGUGUUGGGGGGUGGGGGGCGCAGCCAAGCCUCCUUUACCAAGCCAGCCCCACUCUUGCUGGUAAAGUCUCAUUUCCCACACAGCCUGUCCGCCUGCAGUGAUUCCUGCUGGAGUCCGCCUUUUCCUUCAAGCCUCUCAUUUCUUUGCAGUCUUUUCCCUCCCAGGAAGCACAGGGCCUGAAGCAAACAUUCAGCUGCUGUAUCACCCACUUCCUGGUGCUGCCAUCCUGUCUGACUCUUCUGACCCCAGGACUCCAGAGCUGUUUGCAAACUUCUGUGAUACUUGCUACUUCUCCUGCCUUAGCUGAUUGUCUUGGACCUGACUUCAUCUGUUCCUGUUUGUCGAAUGCUGUGCCAUCUGCCAGGCAGGCCAGGCUCCUUGGACAUGGCCAUGAGGUGUAUCUGAGGAACCUGGCCCUUGAAAUCAGGCAAGCUUGGAUUCACCCCCAGCAAUGCCAUUACCAGCUGAACUCCACUUUCUGCAUCAGUAAAUCAGAGUUCCAUAAAGUUGAAAAACAGGAAAAAAAAAUUUUUUUUCAUUUUGCAGAUUGAAUGUUCUUAAUGACGUUAUGCAUAUAUUCACCUGAACCUCCAGGCUUAAUGGACAUCCUAUAAUAAUCAUAAUACCAGUACAGGAAACUAUCUUAAGGAUUACAGGAGUUUGUAUAUGCAAAGUGCCUGAAUUCCUACUAGGACCUUGGAAAAGACUGAAUAAAUAAAUAUUCCAUCCACUCCUCCUUUAGCGCAAACUAGUAUUUUUCCACCUAUAUAUUUUUAGUAAUCAAUUUUAUUGGGGUAUAAUUGACUUAGAAAGUUGUAUUGGUUUCAGGUGUACAGCAAAGUAAAUCUGUUAUACAUAUACAUAUAUCCAUUCCUUUCAGAUUCUUUUCCUAUAUUGGUUAUUACACAGAAUUGAUUAGGUUACCAUGUGUUAUACGGUAGCUCCUUGCCACCUAUACCAUUUUAACUUGUAUUACAUCGCAACUGCCUAUUUCAUGCCCUCUAACCCCAUUCUGGAUGGUCUUAAUUACAGUAUGCUCCAUUUUUCUACGUAACUGUCAAUCAGAAAUAUCCACUUGCUCAGAGGGGAAUGAAACCAGGGCUGGCUGUUGUCAUUUUAACCUUUUGGAGUCCCAUGGAGCUUAGGAUUUUUACAGAAGUAUAUCUUGGCAGCUGCAACUGUCUCAUGCUAAAAUUAAGAAGUCAAGAUGCUUAUUUCAUAGAAGCCCAUAUUUUUGGCAACAACCUGUACCUUGUCUAUUAGGAGAAAUGAGUGGGUCUUAUAUGACUUAGAGCCUCCGCGGAGGUUUGGUUUAGAUUGUCUCUAACUACAUGGAAAAAAGUACAUUUUCCAAGCCCAAGAAUUUAUCAGCAUUACCUACAUCUGAAAACCUGUCAUUUAUGUACGCUUACAUUACUUUGGAAAAAAAAAAAAAA
rnacentral:lncRNA from 1 species